rnacentral:lncRNA from 1 species
CCAAAUCAAUAUCCCCAAAUCGACUUUCCCCAAAUCAAACACCCAAAACCCCAAAUCGAUUUCCCCAAAUCAAACACCCAAAACCCCAAAUCGAUUUCCCCAAAUCAAACACCCAAAACCCCAAAUCGAUUUCCCCAAAUCGUUCACUCCUGUCCGCCGAACGAAGAACUUCUUGUUCACUCCCCAAAUCCGCCGAACGAACAACUUCUUGUUCACUCCCCAAAUCGACGAUCACUCCAUUCUUCC